rnacentral:lncRNA from 1 species
GCGCAACUUUGUGAAGGACAUCUAGCGUGCCUUUAUAGCGGUUACAACCGGAAUGACAUGGCGGCGGCGCGGCAGCAGAGGUUGAAAGAGAUUGACAAACGGCGUUUGGUUGAAGACAGAUGUAGUGGUAAGGAUAGGGAACCCUGGUAGCCUGUGCUUGCAGCCUUGUCUUGGCAUCAUCGAGAGGAUUAACGAUGAUGGAGCAGCACCGGCGGCGGAGAAGCCCUCUCUCCAAUACUCAAUUCCGCAUCGGUGAAGAAGAUGAAGACGAGGGUGACAUCGGCGAAACGUUUCUUUCUUACAACUAAAGUCACAUGUCACUUUUUUAUUGCACUAAUAAAAUCUUACCUUGUAAAAUUAAAAGGAAUUUUUUUUUAUUAAUUUUACAACCAAAAUAUAUCACAUAUCAUUUUUUUAUUAUAAUUGAAAUUAAAUUUUUUUCUUCAAAAUUAAAGAAUUCUUCAUUCUUUCUUACUAAUUUUACAACAAAAAUAUGCCAUUUGUCACUCUUUCAUUGUAGUUGAAAUCAAAUUUUUCCCUCCAAUCCGGCAACUAAUGGAACAUAAGGUGUUAAGUUUGGAGCAUUCUGAGUAGUAAACUCCUCCAUGAAGUUGCGAAAGAUGUCAUAACAAGGCAUAUAGAUCCCAACCUGUUGGACAAGGAAAAUAUAAGGCCAUUAGCAUGUAACUAUAUCUUGGACAAAACAGAUUGUAGGCAAAGUAUGAAGCAGAAAACGAAUUUCCAAAAAGAAAGGGAGCUUACAGUCGGCACAACCAAUGCUAAACUUGCACUUGUGCCUCUCCAUAAUCUUAUAAACCUUUCCUGCAUAAAUUCACUCCUGUGAACCCUCUUAUAGUAAGUUAUUUUCAUGGAAGGUACAAGAUAAAUACAUAACUUCAAAUAAAAAACGAAUCCGUUUCAGUGUUUGCUACAUAGCUUUUGUCAUACCUUUUUGGCGAUGAUAUUAUCAGUUACAUCAAACAAUUAAGGCAAAUUGAAUUGAAUUGAAAUGAUAAGAUUGGAGGUAGUAACUAACCUGACGCGCAACUUUGUGAAGGACAUCUAGCGUGCCUUUAUAGCGGUUACAACCGGAAUGACAUGGCGGCGGCGCGGCAGCAGAGGUUGAAAGAGAUUGACAAACGGCGUUUGGUUGAAGACAGAUGUAGUGGUAAGGAUAGGGAACCCUGGUAGCCUGUGCUUGCAGCCUUGUCUUGGCAUCAUCGAGAGGAUUAACGAUGAUGGAGCAGCACCGGCGGCGGAGAAGCC